rnacentral:rRNA from 1 species
AAAACAUGUCUUUUUGAAUUUAAUUUAAAGUCUAAUCUGCCCACUGAUUUAAAAAUUAAAGGGCUGCAGUAAUUUGACUGUACAAAGGUAGCAUAAUCAUUAGUCUUUUAAUUGAAGACUUGUAUGAAGGAUUUGAUGAGAUAUAAACUGUCUCUAAUUUAAUAAUAGAAUUUAAUUUUUUAGUUAAAAAGCUAAAAUAAUUUUAAAAGACGAGAAGACCCUAUAGAGUUUAAUAGUUGAAAAUUAAUAUAUUUAUAUAAAAUUUAAUUAUAAUAUUUUAAAAAUUAUUUUAUUGGGGUGAUAAAAAAAUUAAAAAAACUUUUUUUUUAAUAAACAUUAAUAAUUGAUUAAUUGAUCCAGAAUUAUGAUUAAAAGAAAAAAUUACCUUAGGGAUAACAGCGUAAUAUUUUUUUUUAGUACAUAUAAGAAAAAAAGUUUGCGACCUCGAUGUUGGAUUAAGAUAAAAUUUAAAUGCAAAAGUUUAAAAUUUUGAUCUGUUCGAUCAUUAAAAUCUUACAUGAUCUGAGU